rnacentral:rRNA from 1 species
GAGAGAAUCCUUACGGCCGAAUAUCCAAGGUUUCCAGGGUAAAGCUGAUCUGCCCUGGGGAAGUCGGGACCUAAGGCGAGGCCGAGAGGCGUAGCCGAUGGACAACAGGUUGAGAUUCCUGUACUACAGUAUGACAGAACUGUGGGGACGCAGAAGGAGAGCACUACCUGGAAUGGAAUCCAGGGGCAAGCACAGGAGGGUACGGCUGGAAAAACCGCCGUGCAACCCAAAGGUGUGACGUAUACCGAACUAAAGUAGGGAAAUGUGUGAGCCGGCUGCCGAGAAAAGCCGCUAUUGUUUGUACUGUACCCGUACCGUAAACCGACACAGGUGGAUGAGGAGAGAAUCCUAAGGCCGACGGAAGAAGCAUUGCUAAGGAACUCGGCAAAAUGACCCUGUAACUUCGGGAGAAAGGGUGCCUCGAAAGAGGCCGCAGAGAAUAGGCCCAAGCAACUGUUUAGCAAAAACACAGGUCUAUGCAAAACCGCAAGGUGAAGUAUAUGGGCUGACGCCUGCCCGGUGCUGGAAGGUUAAGGGGAGAUGUCAGGAGACGAAGCAUCGAACUUAAGCCCCAGUAAACGGCGGCCGUAACAAUAACGGUCCUAAGGUAGCGAAAUUCCUUGUCGGGUAAGUUCCGACCCGCACGAAAGGCGUAAUGAUUUGGGCGCUGUCUCGGCAAUGCAUCCGGUGAAAUUGAAGUGCCAGUGAAGAUGCUGGCUACCCGCGCCAGGACGGAAAGACCCCAUGGAGCUUUACUCCAGCUUGAUACUGGGAUUCGGUAUUGUAUGUACAGGAUAGGUGGGAGGCUGAGAAACGGUGACGCAGUCGCCAUGGAGCCGCUGUUGGGAUACCACCCUUGCAGUACUGGAUUUCUAACCAGCAGCCGUGAUCCGGCUGGGGGACAAUGUCAGGUGGGGAGUUUGACUGGGGCGGUCGCCUCCGAAAGGGUAUCGGAGGCGCUCAAAGGUUCCCUCAGAAUGGUCGGAAACCAUUCGAAGAGUGCAAAGGCAGAAGGGAGCUUGACUGCGACACCGACGGGUGGGGCAGGUACGAAAGUAGGACUUAGUGAUCCGGUGGUAUUAAGUGGGAAUGCCAUCGCUCAACGGAUAAAAGCUACCCUGGGAUAACAGGCUUAUCACUCCCAAGAGUUCACAUCGACGGAGUGGUUUGGCACCUCGAUGUCGGCUCAUCGCAUCCUGGGGCUGUAGUAGGUCCCAAGGGUUGGGCUGUUCGCCCAUUAAAGCGGUACGCGAGCUGGGUUCAGAACGUCGUGAGACAGUUCGGUCCCUAUCCGGCGUGGGCGUAGGAUAUUUGAGAGGAGCUGACCUUAGUACGAGAGGACCGGGUUGGACUGACCUCUGGUGCACCGGUUGUCAUGCCAAUGGCACAGCCGGGUAGCCAAGUCGGGAAGGGAUAAACGCUGAAGGCAUCUAAGCGUGAAGCCCCCCUCAAGAUGAGAUAUCCCCCGCAUAAGCGGUAAGACCCCUUGAAGACGACGAGGUAGAUAGGGCAGAGGUGGAAGUGCAGUAAUGUAUGGAGCUGACUGCUACUAAUAGGUCGAAGGC